GCUUACGGCCAUACCACCCUGAGAACGCCCGAUCUCGUCCCAUCUCGGAAGCUAAGCAGGGUCGGGCCUGGUUAGUACUUGGAUGGGAGACCGCCUGGGAAUACCAGGUGCUGUAAGCA
ensembl:rRNA 5S_rRNA 5S ribosomal RNA